UACGUAGGGUGCAAGCGUUAAUCGGAAUUACUGGGCGUAAAGCGUGCGCAGGCGGCUUUGCAAGACAGAUGUGAAAUCCCCGGGCUUAACCUGGGAACUGCAUUUGUGACUGCAUGGCUGGAGUGCGGCAGAGGGGGAUGGAAUUCCGCGUGUAGCAGUGAAAUGCGUAGAUAUGCGGAGGGACACCGAUGGCGAAGGCAAUCCCCUGGGCCUGCACUGACGCUCAUGCACGAAAGCGUGGGGAGCAAGCAGG
rnacentral:rRNA from 1 species